CUUAUGAGGAUGUCCAAUGACUAACAGGAUAGAAACAGCUGCUACAACAUGAAGAAUAAUGCCCAGAGAUAAGACCCAGCCUCCCCCACAGCACGGCUGUUGACAGGGCGUGUACUUUCCACAGGGAGGGGGAAUACAUUUAACUGUUUUUAAGCCAUAGGGAGGAAGACAAAGGCUUCCUCGCAUGCCUGGUGUUAAUGUUCUUGCCUGGGUUCUAAAAGGAACACUUAGGUCCUUACAUCAUCAACUCCCAUAGUGUCCCCAGACCCCCUCCCACCCUCCCUGUGCUCCCCAACAUCUGGGGCAUGUAGCAUAGGCCUGUGGUGAAACAUACAGUACCUUUCUUGGUUGUUGUGAAGUAUUUUGAGUCAGUCAUUUCGGUCCUUUAUCUGUGGCCAGACUCUGCAAGACAGAGAAGAGGGUGGAUCACUGCUCUCUUCCAUUUCAGUCAGGGCGUGUGCAGGGAGGAUGAGAAAGGUCCAGAACACAGGAGACAGCAUGAGACUGAAGUCAGUGACGAGCUCACAUGCAGAUGCGAGCCAAGGGGUAAGAGAAGUGCCUCAGCAGAACAGCAGGAACUAACACUCAGGGAACCCUGCGUGUGAUCCUCAGCAACAAACCAACCAACCAACCAAACAGAAUAAACGUGAGCACCGUGAGCAUCAUGGGAUGUCCUGUGGAUAAGGCUGCAGAGUAGGAAAGUGCCUCUGUUAUGGUGGGACCAGUCAGUCGGAGGACACUGGCUACAGUGGGGCUGGAAGCUCCCUGCAUGUGAUGGGGAUUAUCUGUGUCCUGAUGUAUCUGGCACACUGCAGCUAAGGGCUGAGCACGCCACUUGCUAUAACAUUAAAAACCAUUUCUUAGUUGGA